AUUGAACGCUGGCGGCAUGCCUAACACAUGCAAGUCGAGCGGAGCGGCGGACGGGUGCGUAAUGCCUAGGCAUCUGCCUGGUAGUGGGGGAUACCGUCCGGAAACGGGCGCUAAUACCGCAUACUAUCCGCUGUGCCCCGAGGGGAUUAGCUAGUAGGUGGGGGAACGGCUCACCUAGGCGACGAUCCCUAGCUGUUCUGAGAGGAUGACCAGCCACACUGGAACUGAGACACGGUCCAGACUCCUAGGGGAGGCAGCAGUGGGGAAUAUUGCACAAUGGGCGCAAGCCUGAUGCAGCCAGGCCGCGUGUAGGAAGAAGGCCUUCGGGUUGUAAAGUACUUUCAGCGGGGAGGCGUUACCCGCAGAAGAAGCACCGGCUAACUCCGUGCCAGCCGCCGCGGUAAUAC
rnacentral:rRNA from 1 species